rnacentral:rRNA from 1 species
AUUGAACGCUGGCGGCAGGCCUAACACAUGCAAGUCGAGCGGAUGAAGGGAGCUUGCUCCUGGAUUCAGCGGCGGACGGGUGAGUAAUGCCUAGGAAUCUGCCUGGUAGUGGGGGAUAACGUCCGGAAACGGGCGCUAAUACCGCAUACGUCCUGAGGGAGAAAGUGGGGGAUCUUCGGACCUCACGCUAUCAGAUGAGCCUAGGUCGGAUUAGCUAGUUGGUGGGGUAAAGGCCUACCAAGGCGACGAUCCGUAACUGGUCUGAGAGGAUGAUCAGUCACACUGGAACUGAGACACGGUCCAGACUCCUACGGGAGGCAGCAGUGGGGAAUAUUGGACAAUGGGCGAAAGCCUGAUCCAGCCAUGCCGCGUGUGUGAAGAAGGUCUUCGGAUUGUAAAGCACUUUAAGUUGGGAGGAAGGGCAGUAAGUUAAUACCUUGCUGUUUUGGCGUUACCAACAGAAUAAGCACCGGCUAACUUCGU